UGGCUGCCUCCUCAUAACCAUAAGAUAAUUAAAACUAGGGGGGGGCAGGGUUAAAAAAACUUUUUAUCAGCCAGAGGUUAAUGCAAGUGUUUAACAGAUGCUUCACUAUUAAAAUAUUUUUCCCCCCAAGGCUCAAAUAUUGAAGAGUCUCAAACCAGGGACGCCACCAGCCCCGGCGGAGACCUUGGGCGAUUUCAAAGCGGGGGCACCUCAAUUCCCCGAAUCUGUGGUGUGGCCGGUAUCGGUGUUCCCCCGAUUUAACUAGCCUGUUUGAAGGUGCAAAUCAUUCAUGGGGAAGUACCACCGAAACCAGUCCUCCCCACUCCCUGGGGGUCUUCCUCUCCCAGUCUGCAUCUGCCUGUGACUCCAGAAAGACCAACUUCAGAUUGACCAAGGACGAAGGAAAAGCAGAACGGAAAGAAAAUGGGACGUUAGAGCAGAGCAGACUUGGGGAUGCAGAAGGCCCUGGCUCCUGUCCUUCCAGUCCAAAAACGACAGGCGGGAGGCACCGUCCCUCUGGCGGCCAUCACCCAAGACAGAGAACACGUCUCUUCACACCACGGUCCUGGUGCCAGGAUGGAAAGCCCAGGACGAAAGAGGCGGUGUCUGCCUCUCACAAGCAGCCCCGUGGCUUUGGACGAAUUCGGUGGCCCCCGUGGGGGCCCUGCUAUCUUCCAAAGAGGAGGUGGCCAGACUUGCCAGACUCUUUCCCACUCUUACAUUCUUUGAUUCAAAGAAGCCAUGUGUUGGGCAUAGUGACCCGAUUUGUCUAGCAAUUCAAGGCGGAGCUUUCCUCAUUUCACCUAAACCGUCAUCGUUCCAAACUGUAAAGUAGAGACAGCUCCAAACUCGAGACUCAGCUUGUCAUUUUUAAACUACGACAGGCGGGUUCUGGACUUUCCCUCCGAGAAAGGAAAUACGAAGAGCUGGGCAGGCAGGCAGGCGAGCCGUGAAGUUGUGGGGAGGUAGAGAGAGCAGACGCUUCCCUGCCAGAGGCAAGAAAGCUGCAGGAGGAAAGUGCAAGAAAGCAGCAGCAGCAAAGCAAAGCAGCACAGGGGAAGAGGCGGGGGAGGAAGAAGGAAACAGGGCGAGGCCUCUCUUGCCUGCAGGUCUUUGAAGUGAGGCCAGAGGGGAGGAUGGCGGGAUGGGAGGUCAGGAGACAGAGUAGGCGGAGACCCCUCGAGAAGAGGUCAAUAGCUGCGUGUCAGAAGUGCUUUAUCCGAGCAAAAUGCCCUGUGCCCUUUUACCUGCUUUUUAGAGGAAUAAACCAAUUCUGUGGAACUUUCCCAAGGCCCUCAUGCAAGAAGAGUUCUAUGGUUUAGAGCCUACAAAGAAACAAAGAAAAAGAAGAUACUCUGCAUUUCUAGGAUCUUUUUAAAAUUAGCAAUAAGAACAAACUACGGAAGAGAUCCGGUGUUUCAUACUUUAAGAUCCUUCAGAGCAAACCGGUUUUAUUUUUACUUUGGGGUGCCAGGGUGCGGCUGGCAGCGGUCUGGAGAGCCCCCUUGAGUUGCUGGCCGGCAUCUGGCUGGCUCUGCAAGGCCGGUGCCGCGCAGCUCUGCAAAUCACGAAUGAGGACAGGGGUCUCGCCUCUUCUCGGGCCGUUCUGAUUCCGAAGCCAUUCUAGCCAAAGGCCGUAGCGGAGGUGAAUAAGGGGAAACUGAGGCAGAGAAGGCAAGAAAUUUGCUCAAGGUCCUGAAGGUCAUGGCCGGUGGAGGUGGAACGUGGACACGGGGCAUGUGACUGCAGAGCCCGAGCCCUUUGGCCUGGAGACAGACAGGAGCGAGGCGCCUGCCGGGGCAGUUGCUUAGCUGCCGCCGACAGUGACGGGAGGGGACCCUGCUUCUUCCAUGAGCGCCUGCCACGAACUUCCCCACGGAAGCUGCCCCUAUUUCUGAAACAUGUAUUAUUAUUUUAUUUUCCCUCCACAUCGAACAUUAUUACACUGUUCUGUUCCUUCCUUUCCUUUCCUCCCCUCCUCCCAGAUGCUUCCUGGGUUUCUGUGGUUCUGCAACUCUAAGGGAGGAAGGAAGGCAAGAGCCGAGAUGUCAGUUUCAGAAGAAAACUAAUUUCCCAUCGCCCACAAACACUUGUUUCCCAGGCACUCCAGGAGAAAUCGUGUCUCUCCAGACACCUAGUUUUCUAUCAGAAUAAGAUUGAAUACUUGAGAAGUAUCAUCCUGGAAAGAGAAGACCCAAUCUACUCUAGGUGAAAAAACCCCUAGAGAUAGAAAAGUUUUGGUUUUUUUUUUUGUUUUUUUUCUGGCUAGCCAAUUUUCUGUAGACAAUUAUGUGCUGUAAACAGGUAUGAUAUGAUUUGGUACUUUACAUUCAAAGAAAGUUCACAAAUUUUCUUGUC